GUCUAUGGCCAUAGCACCCUGAGCACACCCAAUCUCCUGUGAUCUCAGAAGCUAAGUAAGGUCAGGCUUGUUUAGAACUUGGAUGAGAAACUGGGAGUUAUCAAACUAGACUCCAUAAAUA
rnacentral:rRNA from 1 species